GAUGAACGCUGGCGGCGUGCCUAAUACAUGCAAGUCGAGCGGAAAGGCCAGGCGCUUGCGGCUUUGACGUUAGCGGCGCGCGGGUGUAUAACGCGUGUAUAACCUCCCUAUAAGACGGGUAUAACUACGGGAAACCGGCGAUAAUCCGGGAGAAGAUUUUGCACCACGGUGUGCUAUAGUGAGAGACGGUUUUGCUGUCACUAAUCGCUGCUUCCGGGCCGUAUGGGCUAGUUGUUGAGGUAACGGCUUACCAAGGCAACGAGUCGUAGCCGACCUGAGAGGGUGAUCGCCCACACGGGAGCUGAGACACCGUCCAGACUCCUGAGGUAGGCAGCAGUAUGGAACCGUCCGCAGUGGGCGAAAGCCUGACGGAGCAACGGCGCGUGAGUGAUGAAGGUCCUCCGAGCGUAAAACUCUGUUAUGAGUGAAGAACAAAUGUGGAAGUAACUGUGCACGUCUUGACGGUACUUAAUCAGAAAGCCCCGGCUAACUACGUG
rnacentral:rRNA from 1 species